rnacentral:tRNA from 1 species
UGGCUCAGAUGGUAAAGCAUCUGCCUAAAAUGCAGGAGAGCCAGGUUUGAUCCCUGG